UACGAAGGGUGCAAGCGUUACUCGGAAUUACUGGGCGUAAAGCGUGCGUAGGUGGUUCGUUAAGUCUGAUGUGAAAGCCCUGGGCUCAACCUGGGAAUGGCAUUGGAAACUGGCGACCUAGAGUGCGGUAGAGGGUAGUGGAAUUCCCGGUGUAGCAGUGAAAUGCGUAGAGAUCGGGAGGAACAUCCGUGGCGAAGGCGACUACCUGGACCAGCACUGACACUGAGGCACGAAAGCGUCGGGAGCAAACAGG
rnacentral:rRNA from 1 species